rnacentral:rRNA from 1 species
AGUCGAACGGGCAGCACGGACUUCGGUCUGGUGGCGAGUGGCGAACGUGAGUAAUGUAUCGGAACGUGCCUAGUAGCGGGGAUAAUUCAUGCGAAAGCAGUAGCUAUUACCGCAUAUUGCCCUUCGGGGGAAAGCAACUUUCGGCCCCGCAUUAUUAGAGCGGCUGGAUAUCGGAUUAGCUAGUUGCGGGGUAACGGCUCACUAAGGCGACGAUCCGUAGCUGGUUUGAGAGAGGGACGACCGGCCACACUGGGACCAGAUACGCCCAGAUCACGGGAGGCAGGCGGGGAAUUUGAUAAUGGGGAAAACCCUGAUCCGCGUCAUCCGAAGGCGGUGCGAUGAAGGCCUUCGGGUUGUGUAAAGCAUACUUGGCAGGAAGAAAAACGGCACGGGAUAAUACCCCGUGCAACUGACGGUACCUGCAGAAUAAGCACCGGCUAACUACGUGCCAGCAGCCGCGGUAAUACGUAGGGUGCAGCGUUAAUCGGAAUUACCGGGCGUACGCGCGCAGGCGUCUGGAAAGAAAGAUGAAAUCCCAGAUGAACUUUGAACUGCAUUUUUAAAUUACCGAGUUAGAGUGUGUCAGAGGGAGGUAAAUUCCGGGCGUGCAGCAGCAAAGCUGCGGAUACGGUGUAGAGGAGCACCGAUGGCGAAGGCAGCCUCCUGGGAUAACACUGACGUCAUACUGAAAGCGUGGGGAGCAACAGAUUAGAUACUCCAGUAGUCCACGCCCUAAACGAUGUCAACUAGCUGUUGGGGCCUUCGGGUCCUGGUAGCGCAGCUAACGCGAAGUUGACCGCCUGGGAGUACGCAGUCGCAAGAUUAAAACCCAAAUGAAUUGACGGGGACUGCACAAGGAUGAUGAUUAACGAUAAACGAAACUUUACCUACUCCUUGACAUGUCUGGAAUCCCGAAGAGAUUUGGCGCUCGCAGAGAACCGAACACAGGUGCCGCAUGGCUGUCGUCAGCUCGUGUCGAGAUGUUGGGUUAAGUCCCGACAACGAGCGCAACCCUCUUUUGUCAUUAGUUGCUACGGAAAGGGCGCUCUAAUGAGACCAUUUUCGGUGACAAACCGGAGGAAGGUGGGGAUGACGUCAAGUCCUCAUGGCCCUUAUGGGUAGGGCUUCACACGUCAUACAAUGGUCGGGACAGAGGGUCGCCAACUCCGCGAGGGGGAGCCAAUCCCAGAAACCCGAUCGUAGUCCGGAUCGCAGUCUGCAACCUGACUGCGUGAAGUCGGGAAUCGCUAGUAAUCGCGGAUCAGCAUGUCGCGGUGAAUACGUUCCGGUCUUGCAAGACACCGCCUGUCACACCAUGGGAGUGGGUUUACCAGAAGUAGUUAGCCUAACCGUAAGGAGGCGAUUACCACGGUAGGAUUCAUGACCGGGUGAAGUCGUAACAACGUAG